CCUACGGGAGGCAGCAGUGGGGAAUAUUGGGCAAUGGGCGCAAGCCUGACCCAGCAAAGCCGCGUGAAGGAAGAAGGCUUUCGGGUUGUAAACUUCUUUUCUCAGGGACGAAGCAAGUGACGGUACCUGAGGAAUAAGCCACGGCUAACUACGUGCCAGCAGCCGCGGUAAUACGGAGGUGGCAAGCGUUAUCCGGAUUUACUGGGUGUAAAGGGCGUGUAGGCGGGAAAGCAAGUCAGAUGUGAAAACCAUGGGCUCAACCUGUGGCCUGCAUUUGAAACUGUUUUUCUUGAGUACUGGAGAGGCAGACGGAAUUCCUAGUGUAGCGGUGAAAUGCGUAGAUAUUAGGAGGAACAUCAGUGGCGAAGGCGGUCUGCUGGACAGCAACUGACGCUGAGGCGCGAAAGCGUGGGGAGCAAACAGGAUUAGAUACCCGGGUAGUC
rnacentral:rRNA from 1 species